AGAAAACCACUUCCUGUGCCCGACUCAAGAAUCACGGGCAGGGGCAAUCUCAAGGUAGACUAGAAAGCUACUACUACCCGCCGCAAUAAAUUACACGGGUACAAAAUAAGAAAAGCCCAUAUCGAAGACAUGUUAUCCAAGUUUUCUGAUAUUGAACAUGCAGUAAUUUUCCACACAUUGUAGUCCAAAUGGGUCAAAGGGCGUCCUUUGUUUUGCUCAAAACACUUGGGUUAUCGAAAUUGUAGACGUGUGUUUUCAAUGUUGCAGGGCAGGUUGGUGCGAGGCAUGUCAUUAUU